AUAUAUAUAUAUAUAUAUAUAUAUAUAUAUAUAUAUAUAUAUAUAUAUAUUAUUUUUUCAUUACAUGUUGGGUUUUUAGAUUUUAAUAGUGCUGUCAGGUGAUUAAAACUAUCCAGUUAAUUACAUUUAAUCACAUUCAUCCUUAAAGCAUUCUAAACUGUACAAUUUAAAUGAAUUUUGGCUGAGGAGCAAAUGAAUGAAUGAAUAACUGGCAUAGACUUUAAACUCCCUGUAAUGAAUAUCAGUCAGUAAAAACAUGCUGUAUAUACUGUAUAUCUCCUAGAACACUAGACAUUUUUUAUAGAUGAACCUUUAUUUUCCUAAAAAUUACAAAACAAUUUAAAGAAGACAGUCACACAUACCAGAGGUUAUUUUAGGAGAUUCUAGAAUCCUCAAAAUUGUCUUAUGUUUUAAAACAUUUUAAAUGUGUUGCUCUGUAAAAAUAAAAUAUACCAGCCCUGAUUAAAAUGCUUAAAAGUAAGAUGCACAUAUUAACAGAAUUUACAUAUUUUACCAUAUCAAAAGUUUAUUUAGGAAAGCCCGAUAAAAGUCCUAAUAAAAUCAAAUAUUCCAAAAAAUGUUUUAGGCUAUACAUUCACUGAUUUUUUAUGCUUUUAUUAUGCUUUUAUUAUGAAACAAAAAAUGUUGAAUUAGUCUAUCAGCUAACUGGCGAGGAUAACUGAUUUUAAAGGUGAAUGAAUAGCUGUUUUUUUAUUAUAAGAAUAAUGUUACUGUGCUGGUUAGAUAUGGUAUAGUUCUGUUGUUUGAUAUAAUAUGUGUAUUAGAUUUUGCAAUUGUUUAUAUCUGAAUUCCGCUUUUAUUUUGCUUGCUGUUUUGACCGCGUUUUGGCGUGGGGGCGUGGUCAAGACGGACAGCGGGGUUACGGAGGAUCAGGUUCAGCUGUGCGCUACCCGCUACCUCAACCAGCUGCAUGAGGAUGCUAACCCGGCUAAAGCGCAGGUAUUAAUGCCGCUAAUACUUUAUUUUACACACAGAUAAUUACUGAAUUACAAAGUAGAGCUGUUUCAACUACUGAGGGAGCAGUGUUUGCAGUUAUCUGGGACUGUAGUAAGUGGAGAUGACAGAGUUUAACUGGCUAGCUUAGCUUUUCCACUCUAUAGCCAAACGCUUUCCCGCGUUGCGUCAGUAGCGUCUCCUUAAAUUCAUAUUCUCUACAUUUAUAAACCAGAAUAACGCUAACUAACUCCAGAUAUCUAUCUAGGUUAAGUCUCAACCAGCUUCCCUGUUACAGUCCGCCAGCGCCUCACACACACGAAUGUAGCUAGCUAGCUACGCUGGCGUUAGCUUGCAAGCUAAUUUCUCGGCUACAAAUAUAAAUGUAUUUUGGACAGUAGGUGGCCUUUUUUGGCAUAUGUUUGUGUUUCUAAAAUGAAUGUAUUGUUCUAGCUCUCUAUCGCAUUAUGUAACUUAAUUUAUUUUGGUUAAUUAUGUGAAAAUACUGUUUAAUUAAUUUAAAUCCUGUCUCGGCUAAUCUCUUUCUCUCACACUCGCUUCCUUUCUCGACUAACGUCUCUUUUCCCUCUCGGCCUCUCUCUCAGCUAGCGUCUCCCUCUAUUGUAAAACGUUUUUCUUACUCUUUCGGGGCUAGGGUCUCUAUCUCUCGCUCUCUAGGCAAAAAAUAUAAUAUGUGUUUUGGGCAUUAGGUGGUCUUUGAUAUAUUUCUGUUUAAGCUGUGUAAAUAAACAUGUUUUUUGAGUCAUUCUGGUUUGUAAAUACUGUUGUAAAUGUAGAGAAUGUGAAUUUAAGGAGACGCUACAGCCGCAGAGCGGGAAAGCGUUUGUCUGUAGAGUGGAAAAGCUAAGCUAACUUAAACCCUUUUAUCUCCUGUUACUACAGUCCCAUAUAACUGCACACACUGCUCCUCUCAGUAACUGAAACAGCUCUACUCUAUAAUUUAGUAAUUAUCUGUAUGCAAAAUAAAGUAUUAGCGAUAUUGAUACCUGCGCUGGUGAUGUAGCGGCUCCUGGUGAUGACGUGAUCCUCCGUAUCCCGGCUGUCCACAUUGGCCACGCCCACAGACAGAUUCUGGGAAAGGUGGGUUUCUUGCGGCUGGUGCUGGAGGCCUCCAGUUCUUCUCCAGUUGAGCCACUGUCCUCAUCCCCAGGGCUCCUCCUGCUGUGGAGCUGUGGAGAGCGGCCACUGCUUUUUGUUCCUGCCACUAAUGACGCAUCUAAAUCGUUGCUGGUGGGGCUAAGUGAACGAGUGGACUCGGCUGGCUUCAGGCCGCAGGACUGGGUGUGAAUUUCUCCUAGGCUUGCACAUUUCUCCAUACUGUACAGCUUCUUCUGGAACAGCGGACUGUCCCCCAUGCUGCCUCCUGCACCGUUAGGCUUGGAGAGCACAGACCUGCUGCCAAGCGUAUGGGAUGAACGCUGAACCUCACCAUACUGAGACAUGGACAGUGAGGAGUCCGAGUCAGACCGGUUCAGAUCCCUGGAGGGAUGAGAAAAAGGAACUCUGUAUAAGCUUUAACAAAAAUCACUGAAAGAUCAAAGGAUGGUAAAUAUGCUAACACAUCAGUAAAACAUGCAAAACAUAA